GAUGAAGAACGCAGUGAAAUGCGAUACUUGGUGUGAAUUGCAGAAUCCCGUGAACCAUCGAGUCUUUGAACGCAAGUUGCGCCCGAAGCCAUCAGGUUGAGGGCACGUCUGCCUGGGCGUCACAUAUCGUUGCCCAAUGCCUAUUGCAGUGCAAUAGGAAUUUCUAGGGCGAAUGAUGGCUUCCCGUGAGCGUUGUUGCCUCGCGGUUGGUUGAAAAUCGAGUCCUUGGUAGGGUGUGCCAUGGUAGAUGGUGGUCGAGUUAGAACGAUACCGAUCAUGUGCAUGCUCCCCAAAAUAUGGCCUCUAUGACCCACACGCGUCUUUUGACGCUCAUGACGAGACCUCAGGUCAGGCGGGGCUACCCGCUGAAUUUAAGCAUAUCAAUAAGCGGAGGGA
rnacentral:misc_RNA from 1 species